AACGAACGCUGGCGGCAUGCCUAACACAUGCAAGUCGAACGAGAUCUUCGGGUCUAGUGGCGCACGGGUGCGUAACGCGUGGGAAUCUGCCCUUUGGUUCGGAAUAACAGUUGGAAACGACUGCUAAUACCGGAUGAUGACGAAAGUCCAAAGAUUUAUCGCCAGAGGAUGAGCCCGCGUAGGAUUAGCUAGUUGGUGUGGUAAAGGCGCACCAAGGCGACGAUCCUUAGCUGGUCUGAGAGGAUGAUCAGCCACACUGGGACUGAGACACGGCCCAGGCGCCGACGGGAGGCAGCAGUGGGGAAUAUUGGACAAUGGGCGAAAGCCUGAUCCAGCAAUGCCGCGUGAGUGAUGAAGGCCUUAGGGUUGUAAAGCUCUUUUACCCGGGAUGAUAAUGACAGUACCGGGAGAAUAAGCUCCGGCUAACUCCGUGCCAGCCGCCGCAGUAA
rnacentral:rRNA from 1 species